rnacentral:rRNA from 1 species
AACGAACGCUGGCGGCGUGUUUAAGACAUGCAAGUCGCACGGUGUCAUUUUGGUAGCAAUACUUGGAUGGCACAGUGGCGCACGGGUGAGUAACACGUGAAUGACAUGCCCUUCAGAGGGGGAUAGCCCAGGGAAACUUGGAUUAAUACCCCAUGGUCUCGCAAGAGUAAAGGUGGCCGCAAGGCUGUCGCUGGAGGAUUGGUUCGCGUUCUAUCAGCUUGUUGGCGGGGUAACGGCCCACCAAGGCUACGACGGAUACCUGGUCUGAGAGGACGAUCAGGCACACUGGAACUGAGACACGGUCCAGACACCUACGGGUGGCAGCAGUCGAGAAUAAUUCACAAUGGGGGCAACCCUGAUGGUGCAACGCCGCAUGGAGGAUGAAGGUCUUCGGAUUGUAAACUCCUGUCAUCCGGGAGCAAGACCUGACGGUGAAUAGCCGGCAGGGUUGAUAGUACCGGAAGAGGAAGGGACGGCUAACUUCGUGCCAGCAGCAGCCGCGGUAA